rnacentral:rRNA from 1 species
AGGAUUAACGCUGGCGGCGUGCAUGAAACAUGCAAGUCGAGCGCGGUGUGAUGCGGGGUAACCCAAUUCACAUCUAGCGGCGAACGGGUGAGUAACACGUGAGCAACCUACCUUUGAGUUGGGGAUAGCCCUGGGAAACCAGGAUUAAUACCCGAUGUGGUCACAACAGGACAUCCUGAUGUGAGUAAAGGCGCAAGCCGCUCAAUGACGGGCUCGCGGCCUAUUAGCUUGUUGGUGGGGUAACGGCCUACCAAGGCGAUGAUGGGUAGCUGGUCUGAGAGGACGAUCAGCCACACUGGGACUGAGACACGGCCCAGACUCCUACGGGAGGCAGCAGUUAGGAAUUUUCCGCAAUGGGCGAAAGCCUGACGGAGCAACGCCGCGUGAGUGAUGAAGACCUUAGGGUUGUAAAGCUCUGUCGGAGGGAAGAACACAAUGACGGUACCCUCCGAAGAAGCCCCGGCUAACUACGCGCCAGCACGCCGCGGUAA